rnacentral:tRNA from 1 species
ACCGCACAGGUCUUAAUGGCUGAGACGUCUGGUUUCCACCCAGAAGAACCGGGUUCGAAUCCCGGGUGCGGUUC